CUUAACACCGCUAACUUGCUUGCAACCUGCAGAGCGUCCUCCUGGCAUGUGUUGCAAUUCCACUCUGCGAGGGGAUUCCCCAGUCUUGUUGUGCUUGGCUGAAAUUUCCUCAAAUCUCGGGAAGAGACCUUGAAACGAGGCUGCUGCUGGUUCCAGAAACUGCGCAACUCCUAUAGUGGAAGGGGACGAACUGCCAUCAGUCGAUACAAACGUGGUGUAUUGUGGACCGUCGAAUCACUACGAGAGACUCCAUUUGAAAAAAACAGCGAUGGGCAUACGUGAAAGUCAUCCGGCAGACCUUUCAAGUGCAGGGCAGGCGAUGGAUUCGUCAGGGCAACCUUGUUGUGCUGAGGAUGACAGAUAUCCACCACUCGAAGUCAAUGAAGGACCAGUCGAAGAGGGAGGUCGAACAGUGCGAAUUGAACCCCGUAUGCACCCCGCAGCGAUGCUCGACUGAACCCACUGUUCAUAAUGAAUCAAUGUCAUUUCGUUGAUAGCAUGAAACUUUCGUACAACAAACUGUAAGCAGUAUAGCCAACUAUGGUAGCACACGUUCUGAAAGCUUCAAUAAACAUCAUUCUGUAACU